CCGAGGAUGGGCACGGAUGCGGGCUUAGGGGUUUGGGAGAGGGUUACAUCUAUAUCCCAUUACCAAGAAAACUUCCCAACUCUCUUGCCUGCAGAAGUUUCGAACAGGUUUUCACCAUUGCCUCAUCUUCAACAUUUCUCGAUUGUUGGCCUUCACAGGCUUUCACCAUUGACUCAUCUUCAAUAUUCGCAUCGCUAGCGAAUCUUGAGGUCCAGUCUUUCUCUCUCUCGUUCCUCUCCCUCCUCGCCCCCAUCUCACCUCUAUCUCGAGCCAGACUCCAUACUUGCUCUCUCUCUCUCUCUCUCUCUAUUUAGGGUUUUCUACUUUACCUGUGUUCGGUUCUUCUCAUUCUUCUUCUCGGACGAUAAGGACAUGGCUUACUACUCGAGACCGUUUGGCUUUCACUCUCAUGACAAGUUUCUGUUGCCUCGAAUCCCUAACCAGCAAUCACAGUAGUUUUCGCCCUCUCUUCUCUGCCUUUCUCUCGCUUCGAGAGGAGUUAAGGAGGUGGUUAAGAGUAUUCAGCGCUGCAACAAAGGUGACAAUCAGGAUGGUUCUUAACCAACGUUGCAAACCAUCUUGUGGAGACCCAUGUUUAUCACUUCUUCUCAACUAGCUUGGCUUUUGGGUUAUAGCAAGGCAUGAGUGCCACACAAAGAGCUGUACAUUGAAGCCACCCUAUGAGCAUGACAAUCAGAAGAAACGAUAAGGAUAAGUGGAUGAACUAAAUGACUUAUUGCUUUGUCUUUUACCUAUUUUUUUUUUAUUUUUUAUUUUAUUGAGUUGAUUUUUCCCUCUUUUGCAGGAUUUGUGUUUACUAGGUGUGGCUGGAUUAUGGCUAUUUCUGGAUUGAGCCUACAAGGCUUCCAAUGGCUUCAUUUAUUUUUCUGGUUUUAGCUUAGUUAUGUAAUUGGUAAAUUUGCACGUGGCAAUUUUAGAUGAUAAAGAUAGUAAUAUACAUCUAAAUUAU